rnacentral:rRNA from 1 species
UACGUAGGGUGCGAGCGUUAAUCGGAAUUACUGGGCGUAAAGCGUGCGCAGGCGGCUUUGCAAGACAGAUGUGAAUCCCCGGGCUCAACCUGGGAACUGCAUUUGUGACUGCAAGGCUAGAGUACGGCAGAGGGGGAUGGAAUUCCGCGUGUAGCAGUGAAAUGCGUAGAUAUGCGGAGGAACACCAAUGGCGAAGGCAAUCCCCUGGGCCUGUACUGACGCUCAUGCACGAAAGCGUGGGGAGCAAACAGG